rnacentral:rRNA from 1 species
GGGUCAGUAGGUUGGUCGUGCCACCGGUACGUACUGGUCUCACUGAUUCCUCCUUCCUGAAGAACCGUAAUGCCAUUAAUUUGGUGUUGCGGGGAAACAGGACUGUUACUUUGAAAAAAUUAGAGUGUUUAAAGCAAGCUAACGCUUGAAUACAUUAGCAUGGAAUAAUGGAAUAGGACGAUCGAUCCUAUUUUGCUGGUUUCUAGGAUUGACGUA